rnacentral:lncRNA from 1 species
CACGCGCCCAGCACUGUAAAGCGCCUCGUGUUUUGCAUAUGAGAAAGAGAGAGAGAGAGAGAGAGAGAGAGAGAGAGAGAGAGAGAGAGAGAUAGGAGAAAAAGAAAGAAAGAGAAAGAGAGAGAUAGGAGAGAAAGAAAGAUAAAAAGAAAGAGGGAGAAAGAGAGGAGUAAACUGGAACCGCUUUGAAAGGAAACUGGUGUCUCAGAAAUCUCUCAGCGUGUUUCCAAGAGGCAACCACCUGAAAGGUAUUUAAAUAUGGUAUAUUUUGUUGUAUAUUUAUGUGAAUAUAUAUAUAUGUGUGUGUGUGUGUGUGUGUAUGUAUAUAUGUGUAAGUUUGUAUACGUUUACACAUCGAAGGAAACAAAAUACAUCCCUAUUCACAGGAAUUUGUAUUCCUUUUAUUUUCCAAAAAUCCUUGUUCUUUUUAUUCCAUGUGAUGCUUCCAUGUGAUCUUCAUUUUCAUUUAAAUAAUACAGGUUCUUCCUUUUUAUUUUUUUCUUGAUUGAUCCACUUCCCUUUUUGCCUUAUCCCCCCUUCUCUCUCUAUCUAUCUAUCUAGCUAUCCAUCCAUCCAUCCAUCCAUCUAUCUAUCUAUCUAUCUAUCUAUCUAUCUAUCUAUCUAUCUAUCUAUCUAUCUAUCUAUCUAUCUACCUACCUACCUACCUGUCUAUCCAUCCAUCCAUCCAUCCAUGUAUCUAUCUAUCUAUCUAUCUGUCUAUCUGUCUAUCUGUCUGUCUGUCUGUCUGUCUGUCUAUCUAUCUAUCUGUCUGUCUGUCUGUCUAUCUAUUUAUCUAUCUAUCUAUUUAUCUAUCUAUCUAUCUAUCUGUCCCCCCGUCUAUCUGUCUGUCUAUCUAUCUAUCUAUCUAUCUAUCUAUCUAUCUAUCUAUCUAUCUAUCUAUCUAUCUGUCUGUCUGUCUGUCUGUCUGUCUGUCUAUCUGUCUGUCUGUCUGUCUGUCUGUCUGUCUGUCUGUCAGUCUAUCUAUCUGUCUGUCUUUCUAUCAAACUAGCUAGCUGUCUAUAUAUUUGUCUGCUUCUCUACAUGCUUACUAUGUAUCUUUCGCUUAUCUGUUUAUGCUAUCUCUUUGUCUUGCUCUAUAAACUCUCACUCAACUAUUUCUCUUACGCUCAAAUCUCUUAUACAUAUUUUACCUUUACCUUUAGUACACUACCUCGGACUUUCAUAUCUCCUCCACACACCUUGCAACAUUCCUUAACCGCCAAUUCUUUUCUCUCCCUUUCCUUUUUUUAAUCCCCAACAAUAAUUCCCACCGAAGAUAAACGGUAUAAUAUACUUUAAAAAUAGGUAAAAAUCUCAGAGAAAUUUAAACCACUUUUGUAUCCCCGUUCUUGUUUUGUUUCCAUCUAUUAGAACCCUUAGAAUCAGAAAGAACCCUACAACAAUUCCUCUCUCUCUCUCUCUCUCUCUCUCUCUCUCUCUCUCUCUCUCUCUCUCUCUCUCUCUCUCUCCCUCUUUCAUUUCAUUAACCUCCUGUUGUUUAUACGAGGCGUAUUUCGCUCCUUACUGAACUACUGUUGAUGAAUUCCCGCCAGUUCUGAAGGAAGGUGAUAAAGAAGAUGAUGAUGGUGGUGGUGUUGGUUAUACGGUAGUUGUAGUCGUAUCAAUAGUGGGACGUACAUUUCUUCGAUAUAUAUAUAUAUAUAUAUUUUUUUGUACUAAUCGUUAAUUUCCAACACUAUUAAAUUGAUAGAAUCUUUGACAUUUUGGUUUAUAUUUGAUUCUCGAAAAAAAAAUUAGAUAAAUAAACAGGUCCUUACUUUAUAAUUAUCUUAAAUAAUUUAUUUAAAUCGUUCAGCUAUAAAGGUAUUUUGGAGAGGUAAAUUGCAAGCAAAGAUAAAACAAAAGUAUCUGUCACAUGGCUGAGAACUAGGCUAGUUUCUCGCUUGUGUCACAUUUUACGAUAAGUCUAACAAGAGGAAAGACCUAAAUGAAUUGGUUAAACUAAAGCGUUACACCAUUCAAAGAAUCAAAAAAAAAAAAUGCGUGUAAUAGGUGUAAAACAACUUCCUGUGAACGAAUAUGAAAAAAAAAAUGCGCGCACGCGAAAGGGGUGGGUGGGAGAAAGGCCUCGGAAAAUUCACAUCGGGAAUUUCUGAAAGCGUCUGAGGGGCUGACCCAGGCACCAAAACAACAACAAAAAAAAAAAAUAGUGUAAUAUGUGUAAAACAACUUGCUCUAAACGAAUAUUACUCAAACGAAAAUCGAAAACGCACUGAAGAAGCGGAGUUUUCCGGGAGUUUACCAAUUCUUGACAAGUGUGUUAGGAAGGAAGCAGGAAAGAGAAUAAGUAAACUUGAGUGCAAUUUUUUUUAUUUUUUUAAACAAUUCAUCUAAUUUCCCGCACACGAUAGAAGCUUCGGUUUCCGAUCGAAACCAUUGUAAUUGAGUCGUCCGUAAACAUAAAUCCGAAAAAAGAAGCACGCCGGCCUCAUCUACCUUUAAUAUAUAUAUAUAUAUAUAAUACAUAUUAUAUUAUAUCAUAUAUUAUAUUAUAUAUAUGUAUAUAUAUAUUAUAUAUGUAUAUAUAACACACGUAUGACUGAAGUGGCAAUUGGCUGUGAAUGAUCCGUGUAUCUUGUUUUGUCCUGUUUACCUUUGUCGCGCUAUCGCUCUUUUUUCUGCAUGUAUAUUUUUUUCUGUUCUACCUUUGAUUUAUAUAUAUAUAUAUAUAUAUAUAUAUAUAUGUAUGUAUGUAUGUAUGUAUGUAUGUAUGUAUGUAUGUAUGUAUGUAUGCAUCAUAUAUAUAUUACCUGCCCACCGUCACUAACAUCCAAACCAAUGCAACCCACAUUAUCCUCACUAUCAACCGACCAACUUUUUGCAUCCAACUGGCUGCAACAGAUAUCAACAUGUACGCCAGCACGUGUGUGUGUGUGCAGGAGUGUGCAUGCGCCAGUGUGUGUGUGUGUGUGUGUGUGUGUGUGUGUGUGUGUGUGUGUGCAUUUAUGUCUUAAGUCAUAAGAGCGAGGGGCGAAUUGCCCGUAUGAUCUGGUGAACCUUCAGCCAAGAGUAAUCAUAUUGUACUUUCACUUUCUCAGUCAUUCACCUUUUCAUCUCAUUUUCGUUAUUACAGACAUAGAAAUAGCGCAAUUUUCCGCUCUCACAAAUCAGAUCAUUCCUGGGCCAAUUUUCUUAUCUUACAUAAGUGUUGCAGUUAAGGCGGCGGACUGGGAGAAUUAUGCACAUCGGACAAAAUGCUUAGCGGCAUUUCGUCCGUCUUUAUGUUAUGAGUUCAAAUUCUACCGUGGUCGUCUUUGCCUUUCAUCCUUUUGGGGGUCGAUAAAAUAAUUACCAGUUGAGCACUGGGGUCGCUGUAAUCGCCUUACUCUCACCACCACUACCACCACCACCACCACCAUCGUUCCACGAUAUUGCUGGCUUGGGGUAAAAUUUGAAAUCAUUACAUAUUUGUUGUGGAUAAUUAAUGACCGCUACUGUUGGAUUUGCCUUCGAUUUAAGAUGUCUGGAAAUAAAUUAUCAAGUAGAUCUGAAGGCGGCAGCGCAAAAAGGAACGGUAAAAAGAUCACGCGGUAUAUUAAACUUGAAGUUUUAAAAAUACUUGAUGCGGAAGUAAAACAAAGUUACACUGCUAAAACAUUAAAUCUUGCAACGUCUACAGAAUGAAAGAACACGUGGCAACCAGUGAGAAAAUUAUGUCAAGUGCUCAAGAAGCUACUCCGCUAAUUGACCGGAUCCAUACUUUCCCAUAGAUCUAAUAUAACGCUUAAAGCGGAACGACAUUUGAGUGUAUGAAUCGAGCAUCAGAGAAUUGGUGUAAUGUGCCGAUAAACAUAAUGGUUUAAAAAAAAAAGAGCGAAAAGUUUAUAUGACAAUUUGCAGGGAAAGGAAAGUGAAACUUCCAAUGAAAAAAAUACUUUUUGGCUAGCAAAAGGCUGGUUGGAAAGGUUUAAGUAGGGAAUGAAUUUGCACAACAUGGAAAUGAUUGAUGGCGCUGCAAGUGCUGAUACAGUGACUGCUGCUAAUUAUCCUGAGUAGUAGAAGAAAAUGAUUGUUGAAGGGGGCUACAUACCAGAGCAAGUAUAUAAUGUCGAUUAAACGGCACUUUUCUGAAAGCACAUGCCUGCUAGGACUUAUUUCUCGAGAAGAAAAAGCAACACCAGGAUUCAAAGCUUCUAAAUUUCGUCUGAACUUCCUAUAGGAAGAAAUGCUGUUGGUAAUAUGAAAUUAAAGCCCCUACACAUGCAUCACUCUGAAAAUUCAAAGGUUUUUCAAUAGUUUACACAAUUUCAUCUAUCUUUGGUGUUCAAAUAGGGAGGCGUGGAUGGCUAAGAACCUUUUCAAAGAUUGGUACAUUGCCAGACACAAUACUUCCAACAAAGCAUUGCAUUUUUUUUUUGGCAAUGCACUGAACCACCCAGCGAACUUAGAUGACCAUUCUGCUAAGGUGAGAGUAGAAUAUAUCCCCAAGAAUGCAACUUCUUUGCUCCAGUCAAUGGAUCAUGGAAUGAUAGCUAACUUCAAGGUAUAUUAAAACUUAGAUAAAACUUAGAUAUGUUUCGACCAAAGAGUGGUCCAGGCCAAGUCUAACUUAAUAGCACCACCUGAUAGUAUUAUCUAAAGUUUUGUUUAUGGUUCAUUCAAAUAGUGAGUUCUUGUUGAGUGAGUUGCAUCCAGGUAUGGGUGGCUUAUCUGGUAUUACUUGAAGAAAUCUGUCCAGACUCCGUUUAAAGGUGAUGGGAUCAUUUUCCUCUUUAAUCAGUUUUGAGGCAAUGUUAAACAGGCCAGAGCCUGCUGAAGAAAAGAAAUUAUGUCGCAGAGUACCUAUAUGUUGUGAUCUUGAAUUGGGCACGGGACGUAUGGCCCGUGGUCCCAGCCUUGGAUGAACCUUGAAACUAAUGUUCAAGUCAUUUGGGCAAUGCUGGCGGUAUAUUCUCCUGACAGGGUAGAUAAAUUUACGGCUAGAUUUCUGGAAGAAAUUUAACAUAAUGGAUGCUGUGGAUAAUAUAGCUGAGUCGGUAUAAAGUGAAACUUUCAACUUUGAAUAGUGCUUGAAAAAAUAUAUGGCUAGACUGUAUCCAAGACAUUACAAGUUUUCCUCAAGCAGAAAGUCUGCAUCAAAUUCGGAAAGCUAUUGUGACACUUGCAAAGGAUGUAGGAUAUAAAAUCAUAUAAGGAAGAGUGGGGGUGACUGAGUUGUUAGUGUCCCAGAAAGGAAGUUUAUCUAACGAGGAACUGAUGCUUUUAGAAAAAGAACAAGCUGAGAGUACUGAUGAGCCACUUGAAUUACUCUUACUCUUUUACUCAUUUCAGUCAUUUGACUGCGGCCAUGCUGGAGCACAGCCUUUAGUCGAGCGAAUCGACCCCAGGACUUAUUUUUUGUAAGCCUAGUACUUAUUCUAUCGGUUCUCUUUUGCCGAACCGCUAAGAUACGGGGAUGUAAACACACCAGCAUCGGUUGUCAAGCGAUGUUGGUGGGGGAAAACACACAUACACACACACACACACACACACACACACACACACACACACACAUAUAUAUAUACGACGGGUUUCUUUCAGUUUCCGUCAACCAAAUCUACUCACAAGGCUUUGGUCGGCCCGAGGCUAUGGUAGAAGACACUUGCCCAAGGUGCCACGCAGUGGGACUGAACCUGGAACCAUGUGGUUGGUAAGUAAGCUACUUACCACACAGCUAAUCCUACGCCUACAAAAACUGGCUACAAAAAUUAUUGCUGAAGGCUUGGCACUUCUAGAAGAAGGUUUGCAAGGUCUUUAUUGAUAAUGAUCCUAAUCGCGAACGUAAUAUAAAAAUUACAAGAGGAAUUUACAAUGAACUCAGUUCCUAUACUGAGCUGUACAAAGAAACGAUGUGUCAUAAACAACAAACAAAUUUAGAUAAGUUCGUUACCAUUCAAGCUUAUGUUGGUGAUAAUGAAUUGCAAGAAAAUAUUGUCCCCCAUCCUCCAAGAAACUCUCAUUCCAGUAGCCAAUCUUUUUUGUGGUAAGAAGGUACUCUUACCAUAUUACGAUUCGUAUUAAUUCCCUAACGUAUUCGUCUUGAAAUGUUUUUGUGUUUUUACGUAUCUAUAUUGUACCGAACAUGUUUAAAAAAUUGUUAUUUUCAUGUAUAAUAAUUACUGGUAUCUUUAUAUAUUAAUAUAUUUUAUAUGUAUAGCAUAAUAUGUUAAACAUGUAUGUAUAUUCUUGUAAUUGUCAUUUUAGUUAAAUAAAUAAGUUAACAUAAUAUAAUGUCUAAAGGUUGAUGAACCACCUAUUGAUCCCCUCCAUUUUCUUAUUAGUCUAUAAAUUAAUGGUAAAAUAUCGCUUUACCCUCAUCCAUUUAGUACACUCGGUAAUGUAAUUGCAAUGCAAUAAAAAACACUUGUGUAUUAAUAAUUGGGAAUUCUACCAGCAGUAUAUUAGAUAAAUAUUAUUUAUCCCUUAGUUGGUUGGAUUCACAACCUCUCACUUUCUUGGAAUUAAUUUAUAUAUAUAUAUAUAUAUAUAUAAAUUUUAUAAGCUUAAAGCUUAUAAGCGAUUACCGUGCAAUGACUAAAAAAAAAAGAAGUCUAAUAUUGAGGCAUAUAAGGCCUCGACAGAAAAAAAAGUAGCUUUUCCCACGCGUACUGGAAAAACCUACUUUUUUCCGCCGAGGGCUUAUAAGCCUCAAUAUUAGAUUGUUUUCGUUAGUCAUUGCCCUUAUGGUAUCUGCGGUCCGUGCGUAUCACUUAGGCUUACGAGAAAGGGAUGACCUCUCUUUGCAAAUACCAUAAGAGCACAGACCGUGUGUCUAAAGCCAGCUGAUCUCCUGGGGCUAAAAGCUACAGUAACACCCACCCUUUGUGGUUAGCCAUAUUGAGAUGGCUAGUAUACUUUACAUUGUCGAGCGGUUACAGUUUACAUCUCGUUCAGAGAUUUAUUAUUGCUUGCAGACAGUUUUUCGAAAUCAGUGACGGAAGUUACUAGAAAAACACUUAAGUAUUUGCAUACAAGGUCUUCCUUUUCGUCGUAAACCGGUGAUUACCGCCCGUUCACAAGAGGCAACAACCUCGAAACUGCGGUCCGUGCGUAUCACUUAGGUUUACGAGAAAGGGAUGACCUCCCUUUGCAAAUACCAUAAGGGCACAGAUAAUGUGCCUAAAGCCAGCUGGAGACGAUGAUCUCCUGGGGCUAAAAGCUACAGUAACACCCACCUUAGUGGUUAGCCAUAUUGAGAUGGCUAGUAUACUUUUACGUUUAUAUAUAUAUAUAUAUAUAUAUAUAUAUAUAUAUAUAUAUAUAUAUAUAUAACGAAAUGUUACCGCCAAGCAGUGUUUAGGCAUAAGCAAAAUUUAGAUUAGUUAAAAAAUUUUUGUGACAUAUUUCAACUGCUAAAAAGUAAAUCCCCUGCAAUUACCAUUUUCUGCAUGAUAACUGCAGUGAAUUUGCCUUUUAGCAGUUGGAAUAUGGUCACAAAUAUAUGUCUACCUGGGACAGGAAGUAAAUAUGUGCCGGGAUAACUGCAGUGAAUUUGCCUUUUAGCAGUUGGAAUAUGGUCACAAAUAUAUUACAACUAACCUAAAUUUUGCUUACACACACACACAUAUAUAUAUAUAUAGAGAGAGAGAGGUGGGGGGAGAUGUAUGUAUAUAUCACCAUAGCCGUCACCUGCAAGCAAUUAUGAUCUGGUAAGUGAAACGUUCAGGAUAUGGCAACUUCUAGGCUGCAUCAUAUUAGACUGAUUCUCAUUAUUCAACUGAACAACUGGAACAACGAGAAAAGAAGAGUUUUGCUCAGGACUGCAAUGCGUUGCCCUAGCUAGGAACUGAACCCAUGAGCGUAUGUAUUUAUAAAACAUAUACAAACACAUUGCAAACAUAAUAGGCCGAAUACAAUUGUUUGGAACUAGCAUGAAAAAGUAUGUACCUAUUUCUUUACUACCCACAAGGAGCUAAACACAGAGAGGACAAACAAGGACAGACAAACGGAUUAAGUCGAUUAUAUCGACCCCAGGUGUAACUGGUACCUAUUUAAUCGACCCCGAAAGGAUGAAAGGUAAAGUCGACCUCGGCGGAAUUUGAACUCAGAACGUAACGGCAGACGAAAUACCUAUUUCUUUACUACCCACAAGGGGCUAAACACAGAGAGGACAAACAAGGACAGACAAACGGAUGAAGUCGAUUAUAUCGACCCCAGUGCGUAACUGGUACCUAUUUAAUCGACCCCGAAAGGAUGAAAGGUAAAGUCAACCUCGGCGGAAUUUGAACUCAGAACGUAACGGCAGACGAAAUACCUAUUUCUUUACUACCCACAAGGGGCUAAACACAGAGAGGACAAACAAGGACAGACAAACGGAUGAAGUCGAUUAUAUCGACCCGAGUGCGUAACUGGUACUUAUUUCAUCGAUCCCGAAAGGAUGAAAGGUAAAGUCGAUCUCGGCGGAAUUUGAACUCAGAACGUAACGGCAGACGAAAUACGGCUACGCAUUUCGCCCGGCGUGCUAACGUUUCUGCCAGCUCGCCGCCAUAUGAAAAAGUAUGUAAAAAGUGGUCAGUUGUUUUACUGAAGUGAAUACCUCUUCGUAAAUCAAAGAGGAAUAUGAUAACUAUGGACAACUACUUCAAAACCCUCAUGCUCUAUACCCAGAUUAUAAAGCCACAUAAAUACCAGGUACUUGGUUUUGCGAGUAAAUACCUAAAUGAUAAUCUUGAAAAACCAGGCUUUUUGUUUUUUUUAAAAAAAGGGAAAUCAACCGGUUAACACGCGCUUUACAAAUACGUACAAUCCGUAAAUGGAAUUUUAAAAAUUUGUGCAAGACUCUUAAGUUUAAAAUGUGACAUUUUUCCAAUAAAGGAGCUUUGUAGCUUUAUUAGAAACCAGUUCCUUCCUUACAGGAAGACCUCAAAUAAUAAAAAGUAGAAGGGGACAUGUGUGUGUGUGUGUGUGUGAGUGUGUGUACGCGCGCGCACACACACACAGCUUAAUUUAAUAGAGCAACGGAAUACUCAAUACAUUCUGUAAAGUAUAGAUAAUUAAAAUUAGUCACUUGACGAAAUCAUCUGACCGAAUUAAUAGGAAUAGUAAUCCCUUCUACUAAAGGCAAAAAGGCCUGAAGUUUGGGAAGAGGGGGCUAGUUGAUUCCAUCGAUCCCAGUGCAUAAUUAGUACUUUCAGUUUCCGUCUACCAAAUCCACUCACAAGGCUUUGGUCGGCCCGAAGCUAUAGCAGAAGACACUUGCCCAAGGUACCAUGCAGUGGGAUUGAACACUGAACAGUGUAGUUCGGAAGCAAGCUUCUUACUACACAGCCAUGCCGGCACUUAUUCGAUGUUUAAAAAAGUCUCAUUAUAGCUUUAUAAUUAAACAGGAUUUGUAUUUUAAAAAAUUGUUGAAAUAUUUUGAUUACUAUAGAAGUAUAACCAUUUACUGCACAUAAAUUCUUAUGUGGAACCGCGAGGGCCAUGUGGACCCUGGUUAAGAACCACUGAUCUAGAGACACCCAACCAUAUUUACAGACUUCUUAGGGGAAUAUUGUCAACACUUGGAGACUUCUCUGAUUUUGCCUGAAAAAUGGUAUCUGUGGGAUACAGUCCAGAGUUUCAGUAGAAAUUGUUGAGGCCCCAUUUAAGAGUCGACUAAAAUGUUCCCGCCAGCACUUCACGGUAUCAGGAAUAUUUAUAUGUAUCUGUGUGUAUGCAAUCGGCGUGGCUGUAUGGUAAGAAGUUUGUCUCCCUAUCACAUGAAUACGGGUUCAGUCCCACGGCGUGGAACCUUUCGGCAAGUGUCUUCUACUGUUGCCGCGGGCUGACCAAAACCUUGUGAGUGGAUUGGUAGACGGAAACUGAAAAGAAGCCCGUCAUGAGUGUGCGUGUGUGUGUGUACUUGUGUAUGUGUGUGUGUGUGUGUGUGUGUGUGCAUGCGUGCGUCGUUGUGUCUGUCUGUUUGUUCCCCCCACCAUUACCACUGCUUGAGAACUGUAACACAGUGGAUCGGCAAAAGAGAUCGAUAAAAUAAGUACCAGGCUUCAAACAAAAAACAAGUACUGGAGUUGAUUCAUUCGACUAAAAAUUCAUCAAGGUGGUGCCUCAGCAUGGCCACAGUCUAAUGACUGAAACAAGUAAAAGACUAAUGAUAAAAGAUAUACAUGCGUGUGUGUUUGUGUGUGUGUGUGUGUGUGUGUGUGUGUGUGUGUGUGCGCGCGCGCGUGUGUACGAUUGUAUACACGCAGAUGCAUACAUAUACAUAUGUAUGGCGCACUUGAAACAAAUGUAAACUUUGGUCAGGCGGAAGGAGUCGUAAUGAUGACUGUGUCCUUCUUUGGCGCUUCUCAUCUGCCACAAUUGUUUCGACCUUCUGAAAACUGCUUGCUGUGUAGCAUGGAUGCAAUCUAGCCACACCUCUUCCUUUGUUGCGACUUCUUUCCUCCCUGAGGGAUCGUGAGAAAUGAUGUUUGGAAUGCCCAUAAGACGGACGCCCUCAUUAUCUCUUUACUUAUUCCUCUGUUGAUGAAAAAACAAAAAUAUUGAGUUUCUUGAAGUGCUGCCACGACAAAAGUUCAGAAUUUUCUAGGGUAUGGGAAAUACGUGGAGGCGCAAUGGCCCAGUGGUUAGGGCAGCAGACUCGCGGUCGAAGGAUCGCGGUUUCGAUUCCCAGACCGGACGUUAUGUGUGUUUAUUGAGCGAAAACACCUAAAGCUCCAUGAGGCUCCGGCAGGGAGUGGUGGCGACCCCUGUUGUACUCUUUCGCCCCAACUUUCUCGUUCACUCUUUCUUCCCGCGAUGGAGUGGCGUCCCGUCCAGCUGGGGGGGGGGGGCAUACGCCACAGAAAACGGGAAAUCGGGCCCAUGAGCCUGGCUAGGCUUGAAAAGGGCGCAUAAAUAAAAAAAGAAAAUAAUGGGAAAUAUAUAUAAGUUGACGAUCAUCGCAACUCUUUCAUUUCUACAUCACUGUAUUGCAGCUCCAAUUUUUAAAUAUUUUAGGGCGGUGAGCUGGCAGAAUCGUUAGCACACCGUGCAAAAUGCUUAGCGGUAUUUCGUCUGCCGGCGAGCUGGCAGAAACGUUAGCACGCCGGGCGAAAUUUCGUCUGCCGCUACGUUCUGAGUUCAAAUUCCGCCGAGGUCGACUUUGCCUUUCAUCCUUUCGGGGUCGAUUAAAUAAGUACCAGUUAAGCACUGGGGUCGAUAUAAUGGACUUAAUCCGUUUGUCUGUCCUUGUUUAUCCUCUCUGUGUUUAGCCCCUUGUGGGUAUUAAAGAAAUAGGUAUUUCGUCUGCCGAAGUCGACUUUGCCUUUCAUCCUUUCGGGGUCGAUAAAUUAAGUACUAGUUACGCACUGGGGUCGAUGUAUUCCACUGAAUACCUAUGUCUGUCCUUGUUUGUCCCCUCUAUGUUUAGCCCUUUGUGGGUAAUAAAGAAAUAGGUAUUUCGUCUGCCAUUACAUUCUAAGUUCAAAUUCUGCCGAGGUCGACUUUACCUUUCAUCCUUUCGGGGUCGGUAAAUUAAGUAUCAGUUACGCACAGGGGUCGAUGUAAGUCCUUUGGCUGUUUUUGUUUGUUCCCUCUAUGUUUAGCACCUUGUGGUCAAUAAAGAGAUAAGAAUCAUUAGCACAUCGGGCAAAAUGUUUGGCGGCAUUCCAUCCGUCUUUACGUUUUUGAGUUCAAAAUUCUGUUCAGGUCGACUUAGCUUUUCUUCCUUUCGGAUAGAUAAAUGUGUACCAGUUGACCGCUGGGAUCGUUGUAAACAAGUAUCCUGCUCCCCUGAAAUCGCUGGCCUUCUGUUAAAAUUUGAAACCAAUAUUUAGACAUGUAGAUUCCUCUCACCACUCCGAUUUCCACACAUUUUAAGAACGGUUUUAUUGCCAUUGUUGGUUUACCUUCUGACUCACUGAUUCCUACGUAUCUUACAAAUAAAGAAUUUCAAGAAUAAAUGUUAAUCCUUUAUGAAAAAUUCAAUUAUGUUCCAGAAAAACGCAUAUAUCUUCUUCAAGGACAAUUCUGUAUAGCUACUUUUAUAUACAUACAAGCCUAUAUGUACACGCAUGUAUGUACAUAUCUAUCUAUCUAUCUAUCUAUCUAUCUAUCUAUCUAUCUAUCUAUCUAUCUAUCUAUCUAUCUAUCUAUCUAUCUAUCUAUCUAUCUGUCUGUCUGUCUGUCUAUUUGUUUCAGUCAUUCGACAGCGGCCAUGCUGGGGCACGGUAUUGAGGGAUUUUAGUCGAACUAAUCGACCUCAAUAAUUAUUUUCUUUUCAAGCCUGGUAAUUAUUUUAUCGAUGUCUUGACGCAAAGUAUUCCAUAGAUAUAAAAGAAAAAUGGUUGAGAAACAAUGUGCAAUCUUUGAAAAAUGGAUAAUGUAUUCCUCAGUACCCAUAAAAUCUGUACGGUCAUGGAUGGAACGCCUUUUAUCACAGGUCUACUCUAUUGGGUAACUUGCUGCUAAAUAGUAUUAGUGAGGCCCCCUCUCUCAAGUCACUCGAACUACAAGAAGUGGCGGACAAAGGUUUCUCAAAUCACACCCUACAAUCUUUAAAAGAAUAUGUGUGCAUGAAUGGGUGGAAGAUGUGAUCCAUGAUAUUAUCAGAUGGAAUGGACACUGUCUGGAAUAUCCUUUGAUUAAAGGCCUUCUCCAUUAGGGUUGAAAAACAAGGUUAAAUAAAAGACAAAGGGUUCACAGCAGCAGACGAUCAUUAAUGUUGCUACUACUACCGCCACCACGACCGACACCUACAACCACCACCACCAUUACCACUGCCACUGCCACUUGCCACUGCCGCCGUUGCUGUGACUGUUGCUACUACUAUUACUACUACUACAACUACUACUACUACUACUACUACUGCUGCUGCUGCUGCUGCUGCUGCUACUGCUACUACUACUGCUGCUGCUGCUGCUACUGCUGCUGCUGCUGCUGCUGCUGCUGCUGCUACUACUACUACUACUACUACUACUACUACUACUACUACUACUACUACUACUACAGUAGUGGUAGCAGCAGCAAUUCCAGCAACAGAUUAGGAACAACCAGAUGAGUGGCAAUUUUCAGCGAGAUUCCAAGGCAAUAAAUUUAACCAUCUCUAAAUUCUGAGACGAAAAUGUCGCUUCCUGAUCUUAGCCAACUUUUUGGUUUUGCAAUUUUACUGUCGCUGACUCUCCUCCUCCUCCCACUUAGUGUUGCCUCUUACACACCUUUUUCUUCCCUCUCUCCUCUCUCAUUCUCGCUCUCUUCCCGAAAUCCUCAUUUAUUUCAUAAUUCUUCUCAAUCUUCAUAUUCUGCUCAGCAGAAUCAUUUCUGAUGAAUUUCUAAUGAAUUUGGAAUAGGUCUGUCUGUCUAUAUGUCUAUCUUUAUGCCUUCAUCUCAUCUUUCCCUCCCCUCUCUCUAUAUACAUGCAUAUAUGUGUGUGUGUGAGUGUGUAGUGUGUGUGUGUGUGUGUGUAUAUAUAUAUAUAUAUAUAUAUAUAUAUACUUGUUGUUUCAGUCAUUAAAAUGCGGCCAUGCUGGAGCACCGCCUUGAAGAAUUUUUAGUCAAAUGAAUCGAGCCCAUUCUAUCAGUCUAUUUUGUCGAACUGCUAAGUUACGGUGAUUAAAUGCACCAACACCAAUUGUCAAGCAGUAAUGGGGGCCAAACACACACACACACACACACACACACACACACACACACACACACGACAGGCUUCUUUCAGUUUCCGUCUACCAUAUCCACUCAUAAGAGUUUGGCCGGUCCAAGGCUUUAGUAGAAGACACUUGCGCAAGGUGCCACGCAGUGGGACUAAAACCGGAAAUAUGUAGCUGAGAAGCAAGCUUCUUACUACACAGCUGCAUACAUACACACAUGCUUCUCAACCACAUAAUUCCGGGUUCAGUCCCACUGCGUGGCACCUUGGGCAAGUGUCUUCUACUAUAGCCUCGGGCCGACCAAAACCUUAUGAAUGGAUCUGGUAGACGGAAACUGAAAGAAGCCCAUCGUGUAUAUAUAUAUAUAUAUAUAUAUAUAUAUAUAUAUAUAUAUAUAUAUAUACGACGUAUAUAUACAUAUGUAUAUAUAUAUUUAAAGCUGUAUGUGGUUAUAAUGUGGCCACAUUUGAAAUUUUCAUCACCAGUCUGGAACCCUUAUCUUGCUCAGGACAUUGACCUCCUGGAAACUGUUCAGAGACGUGCAACCAAGCGAAUACUCUCCAUCAGGUAUCUACCAUUCACUGAACGCCUUGCUUCCCUGGGCAUGGCUACAUUGAGGCUCCGACGUCGGGCAUCUGAUUUGGUAAGCACCACAAAAUUAUUAACCAUCGCACCUUGAACACCUUUUUGAGCUUCAUGUGUCCGACACAUGUGAGCAUGUCAGAAACAGCACAGCUCCCAUGACUUUCGGAAACAUUCUUUCACACCCAGAGUUGCUGAAGCAUGGAACAAAAUGCCUGCAUCAGUUGUUAGUCGCCAAGAAAUUGCAUCCUUUAAAACCUCCAUACUUCCUGAAAUUCGCCAACACUACACCUGAUAUACCCACUCCAUCUGCAUGCACACAUGUAUAUCAUGACUCGUAUACUGUUCAUUUUCCUGACUUUUGUACAUAAUUCUAUGCACUGUACAUGCACCUUUGAUGAGUUGUAGUGCACCUGAGCACUAUACACAAUAAUUUCAUUAUUAUUAUUAUUAUUAUUAUUAUUAUUAUUAUUAUUAUUAUUAUUAUUAUUAUUAUUAUUAUUAUAUCUAUGUGCGUGUGUGUCUUUCUGUCUGUGCUGGCCCCCUCCACCGAUUGACAACCGGUGUUAGCGCGUUUAUGUCCCCGUAAAAUAGCGGUUCGUCAAAUGAGACUGAUAGCUUAAAAAAGGCACUUGUCUUUAAAAAAAUAUAAAUCCUGGCGUCAGUUUAUCCGAACAAAACCCUUUAAGGCGGCGGCCCAGCAUAACUGCAGUCAAAUCAUUAAAACAAGUAAAAGAUGUGGGGUGUUGAAAAGUUUUGACUUAAGGGUGCCAGAAAAGGCCUGGAUGGAGGCUCAACCUUCCAAGUUCUUUUACAAGGCUUAGAAAAAACUGAAGCACUGCUACAAUAAGUGUGUGAAUCUGAGGGAGGGAUAUAUCGAAUAAAAUCGUAAUUAACUGAUGUUAAUGUGUUCUUUUACCCAAAGCCAGGAACUUUUCAGCACACUCUCACACACACACACAUAUCUAUAUAUAUAUAACUGUAGUUGUGUGAGUGUCUGUCUCCUACGAUUUAGAUUCCUAACUACUCCCACAUUUUGCGGUGCAGUUUAACCAAAUUCGGGUAUCUUAUAGUCGUGAUUAAUAUCGAGCCCGUCUGGCUAUUAGCGCGCGUCUACGAUGAGUCUACGAUUUAAAAAAUAAUUUAACAUCAUUUUUUAUUCCAUUUUAAUGCAUAAUUUUUCGUGUGUCGAUGGCGGCGGAGUUGGCGUCCACGCUCACAGCUGCACCUGUUUGCUUCUCCCCCUUCUUCCCUCCCUCGUGAAGCUGUGGGGAAGGGAGUGUAAGGAAAUCAACGUCGUAAUGCGUUGUCAAGGAGACCAGCGUUCUUUUAGAACAACGACUUCAUGGCUUGAAGACACCAAAAGAGAAAUGGCUAAGAAAGCCCGAAUUGGCAUCUAUAAGAGAAGUAACUCUCUAAAAAUGCUUAUAUAGUUAUUUCCCUUACAAACCCGAGCAACGCCGGGCGAUACUGCUAGUAUAUAUAUAAAGUUAAUCCAAACAUGAAAACACAGAGAGAAGACACCAGAACGUGAGGACGUGGAACAAGUAUAGUAUUAUUGGACGCUCAAGAAAGAAGGAAAGAAGGAAAGAAGGAGGGUUUAACGUUUCGAGCGGAGCUCUUCGUCGGAAACAUAGGAAAAGGAAAAAUCCAAAGGAGGGAAGACGGAGGGAAGACGGAGGGAAAAAAAUCGCCAACGGUACACACGCGGUCUUCGUUUUGAGAUUUGGUUUGCAAGAUUCUUUAUAUGAGUUCAUGUGUUGAAGCAUAUUCAGUUGUGUCUGGGGAGAGUCAUCUUCUUUUUGUGCCUUAUAAUGUAACAGACUCACCGGUAAAAUUUCCACUUAUUUCUUAUUUUCAUUUUCCUAAAAUUUUCGUUGUGUCUUGCAACCUUUUCAAUAGUCUUGACUCUGUCCGUUAUGUGUGGGUCAGUGUGUGUGUGUGUGUGUGUGUGUGUGUGUGUGUGUGUGCCUAUACAUGCAUGUACGUAUGUAUGUAUGUGUGUGUUUGCAUGUGUAUGUAUGUAUGUAUAUAUGUGUGUGUAUGCAUAUGUAUGUGUGUGUGUGCAUCUGUAUGUACGUAUCCUGCAUAUUUAUGUGCUUGCCUGUCCGUGUUUGUGUAUUUUCUAUGUAUGUGUGUGUGAGCAUGUGUUUGUAUAUGUAUGCACCUCUGUCUCCUUGUGUGUGCAUGUGUGUGUGUGUGUGUGUGUGUUAUGCAACUAAGUACCAUGUUUGUAUGUAUGGACGUGCAUCUUUAUAUGUGUGGCUCCAUGUCUCCAUAUGUGUCUAUUCUUGUAACCUAUGUACCUAUCCGUCUGUAUGUUGAUCUGUUUAUUUUCAUAUCUAUAUGCUUACAUACAGAAAAAAAGAAAAGAAAAAAGGUGCACACACACACACUCACACCCACACACAUACAUUUAUCUACCUAACAGUCUACUAACUAUUCUACUCUACUUGUGUAAACUGUGGGUAUGGAGGUAUUUGCAUUUGGACAAUAAAUACCAAUAAAGUUAUAUUAAAUACUAUACAAAGAUACUUAAAAGUAGAUGUCACUAUACACACACACACACACGUGUGUGUGUGUAUAUGUAUGUAUAUUUAGGCAAAUAAAAAAUAAAAACCAAAACAGUAAAAACAGGGGAAAAAAAGCGAAAGUCAAAAAGGUGUAACGUUUCGAGCAUGGCCCUUUGGCAGAAAGAGGAAGGAGGAAAUAGUCCAGAGAGAAGGAAAAGAAUAGUCAGUGGAUUUUGUAGACGGAAACGGAAAGAAGCCCGUCGUAUAUAUAUAUAUAUAUAUAUAUAUAUAUAUAUAUAUAUAUAUAUAUAUAUAUAUAUAUAUAUAAAUACCGGUCAACGAGAAGAGCGAGAUGGAAAAAGUUUGUGAAGACUUCUACACCAAGCUCUUUAAGUCUACCAGAAAUGUCCAGCCGUUACCACCACUCCAACAGGAAGAAAACGUGCCACCUAUCCUUGUCAGUGAGGUUGAAAGAGCCAUCGGCUCGAUGAAAAACGGAAAGGCUCCAGGGAAAGACGGUAUAACAUCGGAGGUGCUAAAGUCAGGCAGAGACCAGCUCUGGAAAAUCCUCGCUGAGUAUUUACGCACUAUCUAGACGAGGGAAGAAUCCCCUCGCAGUGGAAAGAGUCAAAUACCAUCCUGCUGUAUAAGAAGGGCGACAGAGAAGAUCUAAAGAACUACUGACCCAUAUGCCUGCUGUCUCACGUAUACAAGCUGUUCACGAAGAUAAUUCUGAACAGGUUGUCACGUCGUCUCGACGAACAACAACCGAGGGAGCAAGCAGGCUUCCGGAAGAACUACAGCACAAUGGACCAUAUAUUUGCUCUAACGCAACUGAGG